rnacentral:rRNA from 1 species
ACGCUCGACACCUACGGGUGGCAGCAGUGAGGAAUAUUGGUCAAUGGGCGCAGGCCUGAACCAGCCAAGUAGCGUGAAGGAUGACUGCCCUAUGGGUUGUAAACUUCUUUUAUAUGGGAAUAAAGUUUUCCACGUGUGGAAUUUUGUAUGUACCAUAUGAAUAAGGAUCGGCUAACUCCGUGCCAACAGCCGCGGUAAUCUGAGCGGGCUGGCAAGGC